UGAGAGAAGAGGAAACGACUUCUCAGCAGCAAAACAAACUGGACCGACAAGGACAGGGACGGUGUCAACACCUAGCUGUAAGCAGAGUUGACCCUUUUCGGUAUAUCCUCGAAUUGUGCAUCAGAGUCUUUUUGGUUUUCCUAUCUAAAUAUGCAAAUUAUUCCUGAAACUUACAAUGUUAUCGUGCAUGGAUUUCUCAAGUGUGGCAAAAUUAGUGAAAUGAACACUUUU
rnacentral:lncRNA from 1 species